UGGGGAAUAUUGCACAAUGGGCGCAAGCCUGAUGCAGCCAUGCCGCGUGUGUGAAGAAGGCCUUCGGGUUUUAAAUCACUUUCAGCGGGGAGGAAGGCGUUAAGGUUAAUAACCUUGGCGAUUGACGUUACCCGCAGAAGAAGCACCGGCUAACUCCGUGCCAGCAGCCGCGGUAAUACGGAGGGUGCAAGCGUUAAUCGGAAUUACUGGGCGUAAAGCGCACGCAGGCGGUUUGUUAAGUCAGAUGUGAAAUCCCCGGGCUCAACCUGGGAACUGCAUCUGAUACUGGCAAGCUUGAGUCUCGUAGAGGGGGGUAGAAUUCCCGGUGUAGCGGUGAAAUGCGUAGAGAUCUGGAGGAAUACCGGUGGCGAAGGCGGCCCCCUGGACGAAGACUGACGCUCAGGUGCGAAAGCGGGGGGAGCAAACCGG
rnacentral:rRNA from 1 species